rnacentral:tRNA from 2 species
CGUUCGGUAGCUCAUUUGGGUAGAGCAGCCUGCGAAAGCAGGUGUGUAGCGGGUUCGAAUCCCGCUCGAACAC